AUGUAACACGGCGUACACUCCGGUUCCUCCGCGCCUUACGCAGCCACCUGGCGACUGCUCGCUACGUUCUGGUAACC
rnacentral:sRNA from 1 species